CAUAGCAAAUCUAUUGUUUUUGGUGCUUAUGAAUAGAUUCUAGUAUCUAUGCAUAGCAAAUCUCUAGCAACAUUACAAUUUGAUGAAGUUAUAAGGAUCAUAAUCUUUUUUAUAUAUGAAUGUUUGGGUUCUUGUAUGCAUAAAGUUUUGAAAAGAAAGGUGAUGAAGAUCCUAUGUUAUAUCCAUCUUGUAAAAUAUAUGAAAAAUAAGUUAUUUACCCUGCAAAAGAGGAAAACAGUAUCAUGAUAACUUCUAAUCAUUCCAAUUUUGUAUAGUUUGAAAAUAGAAUCAGAAUGUGGAGAGAGGUUGCCAUA
rnacentral:lncRNA from 1 species